UGCCAGCAGCCGCGGUAAUACGGAGGGUGCGAGCGUUAAUCGGAAUCACUGGGCGUAAAGCGCGCGUAGGCGGUUAUAUAUGUCAGAUGUGAAAGCCCUGGGCUUAACCUGGGAACGGCAUUUGAAACGGUAUAACUAGAGUUUGGUAGAGGGAAGUGGAAUUCCGAGUGUAGCGGUGAAAUGCGUAGAUAUUCGGAGGAACAUCAAUGGCGAAGGCAACUUUCUGGCCCAAAACUGACGCUGAGGUGCGAAAGCGUGGGUAGCAAACAGGAUUAGAUA
rnacentral:rRNA from 1 species